rnacentral:misc_RNA from 1 species
UUGUCUGGGUGACCAAAGAUGAACUGUUGGAAUACUUUCCCGAGCAAGCUGAAUUCCUGAACAAGAUGAUCAUCAGCUGACGUUAGUUUCUGCUCAAACUUCAGGCUUCGUAGGAUAGCGGAAAUAGUUUUGAUCUGAAAAAUCCAUUUCUUCCCGCAAAUGCAAUGGGCUUGGACUGCUGGAGACUGAUUUUUAUGUCUCGACAGUCUGACUAGCGUGCCAUUCAUCAAGUCCUGUAGAAUUUUGAACAUAGGAUACCUAAAUUAUGAUAGCCUUCUGCCUCAGC